rnacentral:rRNA from 1 species
CCUACGGGUGGCUGCAGUGGGGAAUAUUGCACAAUGGGCGCAAGCCUGAUGCAGCCAUGCCGCGUGUGUGAAGAAGGCCUGCGGGUUGUAAAGCACUUUCAGCGGGGAGGAAGGCGUUAAGGUUAAUAACCUUGGCGAUUGACGUUACCCGCAGAAGAAGCACCGGCGAACUCCGUGCCAGCAGCCGCGGUAAUACGGAGGGUGCAAGCGUUAAUCGGAAUUACUGGGCGUAAAGCGCACGCAGGCGGUCUGUCAAGUCGGAUGUGAAAUCCCCGGGCUCAACCUGGGAACUGCAUUCGAAACUGGCAGGCUAGAGUCUUGUAGAGGGGGGUAGAAUUCCAGGUGUAGCGGUGAAAUGCGUAGAGAUCUGGAGGAAUACCGGGGGCGAAGGCGGCCCCCUGGACAAAGACUGACGCUCAGGUGCGAAAGCGUGGGGAGCAAACAGGAUUAGAUACCCUUGUAGUC